GCCGGAUCAGAUGGGACCAGAGCAGUGUCUGCCACAAGAUCCACUCUAACUACAACAUCAAGACCUGACAAUCAUCCAGGAAUCAGACCAUGGACUACACCACAGCAAGCAUCAAUGAGUGGUUUUGUCAGAAGGCCGGUGGAUCUUCUGAAACAAAACUAGUUUAAUGCUGCUCUUGUAGAAAUGGUUGCUACUGAUUUACACUCUUUUUCAAUAGUUCAAGACAGGGGAUUCAGGAAAUACAGAAAGACACUGUACUACAGUAUGUUCUAUCCAGUAGGACUACCAUCUCCAGGAAAAUCACUCCAAAGCGUUUGGAAAAGAUCAGAAAAAAAAAAAAUUUAAGUUGAAAAGGAAAAGUUUUGAGUAAGGAACAGAAGCUUUCAAUUUACAGUGGUCUAUUCAUUUUAACCCUUCUGUUCCUCACUGAAAACCUUCCUUUUCUACUUUUUUAGAAAGGAAAGAAAAAGGUGCAGUGGUCUCUUAUUCCGGAGCUGUAGAAACAUUUUUAAAAUGCCCCAGCAGUGUGUCUCACUACAGACUGCUGGACAUCAAUGCCAACAACCAGCUAUAUGUCCAUCACAUGCCACUACUUAGAACACUUUAAAUUGUCCUCUCACCUCCUGGACUGUUUUUACUGAGAGGCACACUGCAACUCACCUAGCAAGUGAACUGACAAGAAUUUGUGACAGCAUCCAAAGCCAUUCUAAUGGCAAAAGGCCUCCAGAGGAUUAUGGCAAGGAGGCAAAGGACACCCUCCAUCCAUGAGCCAAUCCAGAAAUUGGUCAACUGCUUGGCCAAUCAGCUCAACAGUCACUUUGGCAGUGUGGAGUUUGAUGGGAGAUUGGCAGAUGCAAACCUUUUGGACCCUAGGUUAAAAAACAGGCAUUUGUUAACAUCCAAGCCGGGGAUGAAGCUGUGAAAAGGGUAAGAGCAGCUGCAACAAGUGCCCAUCUCAGCACAAGUGGGGGGCUAGUUUCUGGGAAGACUUUGAUGAAAGAGUGGCCAGCAGGAGAGCCAGACCUACUUCAAGAAACACCAGCUCUGAGGCCAUGACAGAAAUAAGGGCUUACCUGGCCGAGCCCCUUAUCCCCCGGACAGAUGAUUCUCUGGCAAGGUGGAAAACACGUGCAGAUGUGUAUAAUCUCUGUGAAAUUAUGAAGCACAGGCUUUGCAUUGUAGCGACAUCUGUUCCAUCAGAAUGGAUUUUCUCCAAAGCUGAACAAAUUGUGACAGAGGAGAAACAGGCUCAGUCCAACAAAGGUAUGGGAGCUUGUUUUCCUCAAUGCCAACAUUGAGUAGAGGUGAUCUUGCUCAUUGAUUGUAAAUAGUUUAAAGCACUUUUGCACAUUUAACAUUUUGGUUUUACUGUUAUUUUCAUUUAUUCUGUUUAUUAUAUUGAAACAUUCACUUUGCACAGCUUUUGAUAAGUAGUUGUAUUUAUUUUAAUGUAAGUUAUACCGUAUUGUGAUGAAUACAAG
ensembl:lncRNA